GUCCCUUCGGGGACAUUUGAUAAAAGUGAAACGAUAAAUACAAGAUUAACAUGACUCCUACAAAAGAAUGACAACCAUAAAUCAAGAAAUAGUUCAAUUUUUU